AAAUAAGUAGAAAAGAAAUGUCAUGAUGAGAAAGGACAUAAGCACUUAAAUAAGACAAAUGAGUCAAAUAAAAAUCUAAGCAUAGAAUUUAGGAUACAAAUACAAUAAUAAUAUCAAGUACUCAUCAAAUAAAAGUUCAAAUGCGUCAGAAUGGUAUGGUUGAAAUUCAACGGUGGGUUAACCCUGCUAAUGGGUGCAUUAAAGCCUUUCUU
rnacentral:lncRNA from 1 species